rnacentral:lncRNA from 1 species
UAAACUUUAAAUCCUGGUUUCGACUCAAUUAUUAAAUUAUAUAAUGCCUGGUGUUACCAAAUAGUACUUUUGAUCUGUCACGACCCGGAUUUCUCACCAUCGGAAGUCGUGAUGGGGCCUACUGAUGAGAGUUAGGCGAGUCAACCCUUAACUACCUCUUUUAUUAACUAACUAAUUUUUUUUAGCAAUUAGCAGUAAUAGCAUGAAAAUAACA